rnacentral:sRNA from 1 species
UGUUCUCUCCACUGAUUAUAUUUUGAGUUUGAGAGUCAAUAAGCUUGAGCAUAUGUCAUAAACAUGCUUGAAAAGAAAAAAGAAAA